UUAAAAAUUUUUUGUCUUCAUUGAGCAAUCUCAGUUCAAAGAUUUUUUUUUUAAUUGUCGGCUGAUCAAGUCUGGUCUUUCGGAUCAAACCCAAAUUUGAACCAGUUAUAGGUGGUAGUAUGAAGAACAUCUGGUAAAAGAAUGAAACUUGUUCCGCAAUCCGUUCAAGAGUUAUGAAUUUUUUAAUUUCGUUUUUUUCCCUAUGCCUUUAGUACGCGCGCACCCUUUGCUAUGUGAUUUAUAUAUUUGCCUUUCUAGUGUGAUGCUGAAGGUUGCUCUUGGUCAUUCUUCCAGAAUACAAGUUGAAACGUCACAAAGAAUGUCAUCAAGGGAAAAAAGACUUUGCUUGUACUGUUUGCCGAAGGAAGUUGACUACGACAACUUAAAUUCACACAAAAAGCUUCACGAUCGACCAAAUAUAUACUCUUGUUCAAUUGAGCAGUGCAGUUCAGAAUUUCAAACUCAGAGAGAGUUAGAUAACCAUUUAAAGGAGCAACAUCGAGAAGUUGAAGCACUGUAUGCUUGUCAUCACUGUAAUUGCGGAAAACGAUUCCAUUCUUUAAACACCCUGACCACUCACCUUCGUAGUCAUACGCGUGUGGGUCCAUUAAUGUGCCAGUGGGAAGGUUGUUCCCGAUGUUUUGACAGGCCAUCUCAUCUGGAAUCACAUAUUAGAACCCAUACGGGAGAUCGUCCUUUUGUAUGUCAUUUUGAGGUGAGUUAAGAAUUUGGUGAUCAAAGGUUAGGAAGGAUUCAUUGUUUAUUUCAUCACAGGGC